UCAGUGCUGAGAGUUGAUUUUUUAAGGGGGAAUGAAAAUCUCUGUUGGUGUGGGGUUACAACAAUUUCAGCAGAAUUUUAUACAAUUUUAUUUAUUUUUGCAUCAACGUUGGAUUUAUACUUUUUAUAUUUUUUAAGGCCCAACCAGAGUGAAGGUUUUUUUUUACUUUUGUUUAAAAAAAAAAAUCGCUGAAUCUCCAACAAGUCGCGAAUUUACGCAUCGAUAUCGCAAUUCGCAAAAAACAAAAAGGUAUCUCUCUCUCUCUCUCUCUCUCUCUCUCUCUGCCUUGUUUCCAGCCUCAUUCUGCAACUGUAAUUGUGUACUGCUCACAAUGGGAAUUAAAUAAUUCUCCUUGUAAACCCUGGUUUUGUUGUAUAGUGUCAAUGGAGGCGAUUUGCAUUUUUCGCAGAAAAGCCCCCCCCCCUUCUUUGCAACAAUAGGGGAUAAACCAAAAUAACAUUCACAUGUAAAAAGCCAGAAAUAUCUGAAAGACAGGCGCUUUGUAAACUGUGAAUUGCCCCCAAGCUGUCUUACACUUCCAGGUUUUUUUUUAACUUUCUUUUUUCAUUCCUUUAAUUUUUUUAUUUUUUUUAAAAAAACCUGGACAAGGACCCUCAGAGAAAGUGAGAAUAUGCCCAAUUUACUCUGUUGAUAGAGAGCCCUUGAGAAGGAGGCUGAAGUGGACUCAGCAAACAUUUACCAAACUUCUCCCCACGUGCCACUGGUUGAAUCGAGUUUUUUCAAGUGCAGCAAAUGUUUAUAUAUUUUUUUUUUGUGCGAUCAUUUCCAGAUGGGGAAAAAAAUAAUUAAUUCGCCUAUAGCAAGGCUGAUAGGAUCGGAUUAGAUCGUAUGAUAUCUAAUAACAAGCGAUUGUAUCGCUCAGCAAGGUAAUUAUGUCAUCGCUUUCUCUCAGCUGGAUAAACACAAUCUCCAAUAAAUAUCCCUAAUGAAGGAGGAGGGUCUGGGAUGGUUGUCUGAAUUUUUAUGAAUCAAGAAGUUGCAUUAAUUCUGGGACAGGUUCAGAUUCGAUUUUGCGCUGUUGGCGCUAAAUCAAGAAGAAAUAAAAACGAAAAAAUAAAUAUAUAUAUUCUUUAAUGGAAA